rnacentral:rRNA from 1 species
GCGAAAGCGAGUUUUAACUGAGCGUUCAGUUACUUGACGUAGACCCGAAACCGGGCGACCUACCCAUGAGCAGGAUGAAGCGAAAGUAAAAUUUCGUGGAGGUCCGAACCCACGAGCGUUGAAAAGCUCGGGGAUGACUUGUGGGUAGCGGUGAAAUUCCAAUCGAGCCCGGAGAUAGCUGGUUCUCCCCGAAAUAGCUUUAGGGCUAGCCUCAAGGUGAGAGAUACGGAGGUAGAGCACUGAAUGUCCUAGGGG